rnacentral:rRNA from 1 species
UACGUAGGGUGCAAGCGUUGUCCGGAAUUAUUGGGCGUAAAGAGCUCGUAGGCGGUUUGUUGCGUCGGCUGUGAAAUCCCGAGGCUCAACCUCGGGUCUGCAGUCGAUACGAGCAAACUAGAGUGUUGCAGGGGGAGACUGGAAUUCCUGGUGUAGCGGUGAAAUGCGCAGAUAUCAGGAAGAACACCAAUGGCGAAAGCAGCUUUCUGGGACGGUACUGACGCUGAGACGCGAAAAGCGUGGGGGAGCGAACAGG